rnacentral:rRNA from 1 species
UGCUGAAAGCAUCUAAGCACGAAACUUGCCCCGAGAUGAGUUCUCCCUGAGACUAUAAGUCUCCUGAAGGAACGUUAAAGACGAUGACGUUGAUAGGCCGGGUGUGUAAGCGCAGCGAUGCGUUGAGCUAACCGGUACUAAUGAACCGUGAGGCUUAACCUUACAACGCCGAAG